GUUUGAUCCUGGCUCAGAGCGAACGCUGGCGGCAGGCUUAACACAUGCAAGUCGAGCGGGCGUAGCAAUACGUCAGCGGCAGACGGGUGAGUAACGCGUGGGAACGUACCUUUUGGUUCGGAACAACUCUGGGAAACUUGUGCUAAUACCGGAUAAGCCCUUACGGGGAAAGAUUUAUCGCCGAAGGAUCGGCCCGCGUCUGAUUAGCUAGUUGGUGGGGUAACGGCCUACCAAGGCGACGAUCAGUAGCUGGUCUGAGAGGAUGAUCAGCCACACUGGGACUGAGACACGGCCCAGACUCCUACGGGAGGCAGCAGUGGGGAAUAUUGGACAAUGGGCGCAAGCCUGAUCCAGCCAUGCCGCGUGAGUGAUGAAGGCCUUAGGGUUGUAAAGCUCUUUUGUCCGGGACGAUAAUGACGGUACCGGAAGAAUAAGCCCCGGCUAACUUCGUGCCAGCAGCCGCGGUAAUACGAAGGGGGCUAGCGUUGCUCGGAAUCACUGGGCGUAAAGGGCGCGUAGGCGGCCAUUCAAGUCGGGGGUGAAAGCCUGUGGCUCAACCACAGAAUUGCCUUCGAUACUGUUUGGCUUGAGUAUGGUAGAGGUUGGUGGAACUGCGAGUGUAGAGGUGAAAUUCGUAGAUAUUCGCAAGAACACCGGUGGCGAAGGCGGCCAACUGGACCAUUACUGACGCUGAGGCGCGAAAGCGUGGGGAGCAAACAGGAUUAGAUACCCUGGUAGUCCACGCCCUAAACGAUGUCAACUGGUUGUUGGGUCUUCACUGACUCAGUAACGAAGCUAACGCGUGAAGUUGACCGCCUGGGGAGUACGGCGCAAGGUUGAAACUCAAAGGAAUUGACGGA
rnacentral:rRNA from 1 species